AGAAAAGGCCUUUCAGGCAUCCUCUCCUAAAACUUCCGGGCCGGCGUUCGCGUCGGCCCUUUUUUUUGUGCGCC
rnacentral:sRNA from 1 species